GACGAACGCUGGCGGCGUGCUUAACACAUGCAAGUCGAACGAUGAACCUGGAGCUUGCUCCGGUGGAUUAGUGGCGAACGGGUGAGUAACACGUGAGUAACCUGCCCUUGACUCUGGGAUAACUGCGGGAAACUGUAGCUAAUACCGGAUACGACCCUCGGCGGCAUCGCCAGGGGGUGGAAAGAAUUUCGGCCAAGGAUGGACUCGCGGCCUGUCAGCGAGGUGGUGAGGUAACGGCUCACCAAGGCGACGACGGGUAGCCGGCCUGAGAGGGUGACCGGCCACACUGGGACUGAGACACGGCCCAGACUCCUACGGGAGGCAGCAGUGGGGAAUAUUGCACAAUGGGCGCAAGCCUGAUGCAGCAACGCCGCGUGAGGGAUGACGGCCUUCGGGUUGUAAACCUCUUUUAGUAGGGAAGAAGCGAAAGUGACGGUACCUGCAGAAAAAGCACCGGCUAACUACGUGCCAGCCGCCGCGUGUAA
rnacentral:rRNA from 1 species